UACGUAGGGCGCAACGUUGUCCGGAAUUAUUGGGCGUAAAGAGCUCGUAGGCGGCUUGUCACGUCGAUUGUGAAAUCCCCGGGGCUUAACCUCGGAAUUGCUUUCAAAACUACCAGGCUAGAGUGUAGUAGGGGAUGAUGGAAUUCCUAGUGUAGAGGUGAAAUUCUUAGAUAUUAGGAGGAACACCGGUGGCGAAGGCGGUCAUCUGGGCUACAACUGACGCUAAGGCGCGAAAGCGUGGGGAGCAAACAGG
rnacentral:rRNA from 1 species